AUAGUAGAACUGUUAAUUUUUUUGUUAGACACUUAGAGCCACUCGUUUUUUCUCUUAGCUUCCUAUUUUUAGUAUUGAGAUGUUGAGUUUAUAUGAUUCGUAUUUCGUAUUGAGAUGUUGCUAUAUUCGUUAUUUCGAUUCCAAAUGAAUAUAUUCGGUUAUGAUAUUUUCUACACGUAUCAACAGUUGUUACAGCUACAUUACAUAUGCCUACUGAUUUAUAUUGGUUGAUUAUAGAAAUCAUAGGUCUUGAUUAAUAUAUAACAAGUGCAUCUUCUUACGAAUAUGUGUUGAAACUUCCACCAAACUCGGUUAUAUAUAGGGAAUAAUAUAUGAACACAUGACCCGAUUAAUAAAGUCAUCUUCUUCUUCUUUUGUUUACUUUUUUUCUUGUUUCGAUGACUUAUGAGAAGGAGCCGUCUCUCUUGCUGCGGCUAAGAAAGCCGUCUCUCUUGCUGCGGAAGUGCAGAAGUCUCUGUUGCAAUCUGACGUACGGUCAAAAUCUGAUAAAAGUCCAGUUACAGCUGCUGAUUAUGGAUCCCAAGCUGUGAUCAGUCAUGUAUUAAAGAGAGAACUUCACCCUGAACCACUGUACUUAGUUGCUGAAGAGGUGGCUAGCCAAGAUAAUUCAUCACCACCUAGUUCAUCUCCAAGCUACGUGAUAUAUCUGUUGAAGACAGAAGAUGCAAGUAUGGUUUGGAUAUCUUGAAGGAGUGUGUCAACAUUUCAUAAGUCUAUGUUCCUUUAUCCAGCUUUACUUUAACUUUUGUUUAAACAUGUAUGAUGCUUGUGAAACAUUUAUAGAUUCUUUUGGUACUUGUAUGAUGCUUCUAACAGUGUCGCAUGUUUUUAUUAGCACUUUGCUUUAAUUAUUAUUGAACUUCACGAA